UUUCUCAAUUCCAAGUGGCUUCUCGUUGUUUAGUCUACUCUUAUAUAAAACUGUAUGUGUUAAGCACAACACACAGUAAACCGCCAUGUUGCUAUUUCAGAGUGGACUGUACGGGUCCUCCUCUGACACUGCUCUCGAAUGUGCACUCUUAACAUUCAAGCAAGGAUUAUGCUCCAUCCCCAACCCGCUUCUCACUUAAUUGGCUUAGAUGAAUAUCUGAAGUGCUGAAGCUCGGUUUAAGCCAUGCAAUUAGUACAGUGCUGUAAUUGAAUUUUCAUGAAAGCCAUGGACGCUGAUUGUGUGCCACAAACAACCUUUAAAUCAUUGUCCAUACAUGACGGAUAUUUUGCAUACAGUCAAAUGUUUAUUUAUAGAAAAGAUGGAGCAAGUAAGAGGGAGUUGCUUGGCGAAAAUUGCCCGGAAUUCAAUAUGCUGUGCAAUUAUCAUGUUUAAUAGCCUGUAAAAUCCUAAUAUCUAUUCAGCCACUUGGAAAGGCACAAGAAAUGGUCUGACCAUUUAGCCCACUUUUCUCUGGCCCCUUCCUGGCCAUGACAGACGGCCCUGUCUGGAGAGCAGAAAGAAAUAAUAUGAGCCAUAUUUCAUUCAAAGGCCCUUUUCCGCGUAUCCUCAUUCUUUCUUUUUAACUGACUUUCCCUCCUUUUCCUUAUCUUCCCGAUUUCUCCAGAGCUGUAUUGGUGAUUACCUGUGUUGAAUCAGUUGAAAGGUAAAAUACUGCAUCCUGGAGGACGAAUGCAAUGUAAGGAGGUUGUUCUCCUGUUCUCUCCCUGCUCAGUCCUAUUCAUGUCAAGGGUUUGGAAUCUUCUGUAAGUCAAUUUUGGACAUGUUGAGCACAAUUUGACAUUGCCCAGUGUGCAAUGUUUUUGCAAAAUGCAAUAUAUGACUCUGAGAAGACCGUGAUAAUCCAGCGUAGACAAAUAAAAAACAAUUCCAAGGAAGGAAGUCGUUCAGACAUGACAAAGCAUUUUCUGCACCAUGGCACUGUGUAUAAAUGUUUUGCAGUGUUUAUGUGUCCCCCUCAUGAAGGAAGGAUUUUUUUCAAAUCAGCUAUUGGUAGCACAACAGCAUUUGCUUUUUUCUUAUUUACCAAAAUACAUGAAAGAACACCUUUUUCAUGAAAAUUGCUCGCUGGCAUGAAUAAUACACCAAUAAUCCCAACUAAAAGAACAUGGAUUGAUGAGCAGAGCUGGUGUCAGGAUCUCCUGCAUAUUAAAGACGAGAGAAGAGUGACAAAUGUGCAGUGGAAAACUGAAUACCGAAAACCGUCGCAAUUUAUUUGGUUUGACGUGCACAUUUUUUUCAUGCUGCUUUCUCUCCUUUUGAUCUUAAAGUAAAACUCCCCCCUUUUCCUCUCCCAUCACUUGUCGCCGGGAAACAUCAGAGACAGCGUAAUCUUGUGAGUCUGUGCGAUCUUGCGCAUGUGUGCGCAAGCGGAGCGUCUGUUGCACAUGCUUGUGCUUGCGUGUUGUCUGAUUUUUGCAGUGGCAGCAGGCAGCACCGAGGCCAAGCAGGCUACACCUACAGUUUUUGCAAUAAACCUGUCAGAAGCAUACCCAUCUUCAUCUCCUCGCUGUUAACUUUGUCAUCUGACAGUGCCUGUCAAAACUCUCCUCAGGAUUUCCUGAAGAAAAAAAGUCUCCACACAUCAACAACAGCAGGAGUAUCAGACAGAGGUAACAUGAACGGCUUCUUGUUCGCAUGGCUUGUGUAUGUUACAAGAUGUGCAGCAUUGCCGAUUGAUGAUACUUAAUUUAUUGGCCAUAAUAAGUGAUAUUUGAUCCACUACUUACUUAGUUUGUUAGUCACGUCCUUACAAUCACUCCCCUCUUGUGUCGCCCAGCUAACCGUCCUGCCUGUGUAGACUAGACUAGUGCUGUUUAUCUCCCCUUAAAUCUCUCCUUCAGGGGCAAACCAGUGAUUGCCCGCUACUAGCUGUGAAGGGAGGCACUAUUUCCUUAUUUGCUAUCCUCUCCACUAAGAGCCCCGCCACCACGGCCGCAAUCAUCCUCCCAAUGUGUCACAUCUGAAAAGAGCAGGGAGCACAUGCCACCUCUGCUGGAAGAUUUCCCCGUCCUGUGGCACCCUGAUAAGCUCUGACUUACUUCCACCAUGUGCAGGCACAUGGCUCGUAUUGCCUUUUGUAAUUACAUCUGCUUCGCUGCACUGUUUCUGCUCCCCUCACUCUCUCCCGCUUCCAAAUGGAAAGUAGAUUUGUGGGUGUGCGUGUGCACGAGUGAGCGAGUUUUCUUCUGGCACAUACAAAAGCAUGAGCAAGCAUAAUCCCUGCACACCAUCUUUGGGCACCGGCUAUUUCUCUUACAUCCAGGCAAACAACAUUAAAUGGAAGAAAGGCUUUUGUCCUCCCAAGUACAUGUAUAUUCUUUGUAUAUUCUCUCCAUCCAUUGCCACCCACCACCUGCUGUAAUAGAUCCCCUACCAUGGCACACACAAGCUAAUGGAUUCAGACGGAAGAAUUUGUUUGUCCAUUUUGCCAUUCUUAUAGAAAAUGGGAAUAUUACACAACCUUCACAGACUGUGGUGUGUGUGUGUGUAGACUUAAAACUAAAUAAAAUAAGAUUUGAGGAGACGGAAUAAAGUUUCAUUCUUUUAACUUUACUUAGAUCAUUUUUGUAUUGCAAGAUUGAGUUAUGUUAGUCCGCUCAGCUCUGCCGCUCUGGCUCACAUGGAGUAUUUUGGGCGGUUAGGAACACUGUUUCAUCGCUUGGAGUUCUGUAGCAAUGCUGGGCUUUAAACUCUCUCCAGCUACCAAGUGAAACACUUCAGUUACGCUCAGUAUUAGUCAAACACUUACCUGAGACAUUGAUCUCAAACUUGGCCUGUGUUGUAGCCCUGAUGGCCAAGGCUGACAGCACCCAAACUGUAUCUUAAGCCCCGUUUGGAUGGGAUUUGUUUUUUCUAGAGAAUGGUUGGGUAAUUUAAAUAUUGCUCACACUGAUGUGUAGUGAUUUUCUCCCCAUCCUUAGUGCAUAUUUAUGAGACGUUGGCUCCCAAACCCCAGUAUUAAUCACAGUCCCAAAUGCCGUUUUUAGUGUACUUGCUUGUCCAUUUCUUAAAAAGUGACUUCACAACAAGCAAAAAAAUUCAAACGUGGCUCAGAGUAAGCAGAAACCCCACUGGCCAUCUCCUCUGGUUGUGUAAUUGGCAGGAACCAAUUGCAGACAAAUGGCAAGGCAGAGAGAAAAAUAUUUAAAAUAGAUUUAGCGGACAAAGGAAAGCCUACACUCCCUGUCAGCAGGUAGGCUUUCUGGCAAAAAGGAAAUAAGCAGAUGACAAUGAAACUGAAACACAAAUGAGAAAAUCAGGAGCAGAAAUCGGGAGAUGUAAACAGACCGAAAGGCAAAGUCAAAGGGAAGCACAGACUAUAUUGAAGGGGAGACAAUUGGACACGUGACACAUUAGGGCAAAUGCAGACAACCACAGGAACUGGAAACAGAACAAAGACAGGAAGUAAACCAAGGAUAAGACACAAGGAAGGUAGCGUCAAAGUAAAACAGGAAAUCAUGACCUCAAGGUAAGCCAGUCCGGAAAAUUCCAAACAAGUCCAAACAAGCUUUCAAAGACGUUAUAUUUCAGUUUUUGUCCAGUAACAUCUGAACAUUGCUGCCCGGCUCAGUUGUGUUUUUUCUACCUCUCGCUAUCGUUAUUCAUCCGUUGUAGAAUCAUGCAUUUUCUAUGACACUUCAAAAGCUACCUUUCAUCCCACUCGUAAGGCCCCGCAUGUAUGGAACAUUAGUCAGUUUCUCUGAAACUUUCUUCUCCUUUUAUAUUCAGUCCUUUUGUGAAAGGCCUCGAGUGAAAGUGUUGAACCGUCGGACUGAAGAUGCUAUCAACGCUGAGGAAAGACAUCUCUCUCCCUGCAGCUGCCUGCCACUCAUAUCUCAGAAGGUUGAUUCCACAUCACCUGACGAAGAGCUUUUGCCUUGACAGCACCACUGACCCUGAGGAGAGAGAGAGCUAACCUCCUGCACAUGUGCUCACAACGCCACAAGCCUGGUCAUCUUCAGACGUGAAGAUGCCUCGGCUCACCAUUUAUCGACACAACAGACAUACCAAACCUCUGAGUGAUGUCUUGUGUCUGAUUGUGUGAGGAUCACGUCAAUCCUGAUGGACAAACAUGUUAAAAAGUGACACCAUCAUGAACAACCCCAUCCCUGUGCUUCUGCUCCCGGCCAUUUCCACCUCCCAGCUUCCCUGGAUUAGGUUUACAGCACCUCAUCCCAACUUCGACUUUUAUAAUUGGCUUUUUGUUGUUGUUGUUGUUGCUCUCCUCUCUUCACCUCCCUUUUUCCUCUCACCUAAAUCAAAGCUGAAAAUAGAAGAAUGGGCUAUAAUCUGCCUGUGAGGGUGAAAAGACACAAUGCAUGCUCACUGCAGAAUAUGGGUCGGUUUCCCCGUUUGCUUUUCUUUCUUUCAUUUGUUUUUGCAUGCUUUCCUCGUUUCACCCUUUACUUAGACGUCCAGCUGCAGUCUCUGUCACUGCCCUCUCUAUCCACGGAGCUGCGGUGGCUUUGUGAAGUCCAGGCACUGUUUGAUCUGAAGUCCAGAACACAUGAUGAGAGUUAUCCACUGGCAACAACAACAACAUCCCAUUAGGAGCUGCACAGAGCCUUGACAAACACUCUCGCCUCUUGCUACUGAUGCUGGCGAUUCUCUGUGCUGCUCCCCAGCUCAGGGUCAGCAUUACUGUCUCAGCAUCACUUGACACUGAAGCUUAGGCUACAUCCCCACUGCUACGUUUUCGUUUUGAAGCUGCAUUUUUAAAACUGAAACGAUCUCCAUCCAGACGCUAUUAAUACCCGUCCAUACUAACACACCUGAACACUUACAUCUUGUGACCACAAAAACAACAACAACAAAAGUGAAAGAGCAGGUCUUUCUCUUCUUGGUACAAUGAUGAACUGUUACUGGCAGUAAGUGUAAGUGUACAACAUUUUGUAUUCAAGUAGUCGAGUCAUGACUGAUGAGAACCAGUCAGGAAGUGACUGGGUCAUCGUUUCCAAACAUCUCCAUUUUCGCCUGUCCAACGCAACUCUUGAGUUUGUAACUUGUUUCACAUGUUCUUGUGCAAAUAUUUUAUUAUUUAAAUUUCACAGGCCUUAAUAUUCUUGUCGUCUUCAUAGCCACAUUUUAUUCAAUUUGAUCUUGUUAACUACAUUUCCUGUUAUGUGGUGUCUCCAGAGCAGCGGACGAGAGCUCAUCUCUGUUCAACUUCGCCGGAAAGACAAAUGUAAAUGGAGAAAUUAUUAUUUAAGCACAUUUUAUUGCUUAUAUUUACUACUCUAAAGACUCAUAAACUGUUUUCAGUCUGUGAUGUCUCUGAUUGAUAUUUAUUUGUUACACGCAUCAGAAACUCAACACUUUUUUGGGGAUUGAUUGCUGGUAAAUGUCAUUGUAUGUUAAUGUUAUGUGACGAGUGAGACUACUGUCUUAAAAGAGGACAUUUGUGUUCCUGAUAAUAACUUCACUGUGUCAGUCCUAUGAUUAGCUGUAAUUUAAUUACAUUUUUUUAUCAGGUAAUAAAUUUUGGUUUGAAUUACUA